rnacentral:rRNA from 1 species
UGAACUCCAGCUUGCUGGGAGGAUUAGUGGCGAACGGGUGAGUAACACGUGAGUAACCUGCCCUUGACUCUGGGAUAAGCGCUAGAAAUGGCGUCUAAUACCGGAUACGAGCUUCAGCCGCAUGGCUAGGAGUUGGAAAGAAUUUUGGUCAAGGAUGGACUCGCGGCCUAUCAGCUAGUUGGUGAGGUAAUGGCUCACCAAGGCGACGACGGGUAGCCGGCCUGAGAGGGUGACCGGCCACACUGGGACUGAGACACGGCCCAGACUCCUACGGGAGGCAGCAGUGGGGAAUAUUGCACAAUGGGCGAAAGCCUGAUGCAGCAACGCCGCGUGAGGGAUGACGGCCUUCGGGUUGUAAACCUCUUUUAGUAGGGAAGAAGCGAAAGUGACGGUACCUGCAGAAAAAGCACCGGCUAACUACGUGCCAGCAGCCGCGGUAAUACGUAGGGUGCAAGCGUUGUCCGGAAUUAUUGGGCGUAAAGAGCUCGUAGGCGGUUUGUCGCGUCUGCUGUGAAAUCUGGGGGCUCAACCCCCAGCCUGCAGUGGGUACGGGCAGACUAGAGUGCGGUAGGGGAGAUUGGAAUUCCUGGUGUAGCGGUGGAAUGCGCAGAUAUCAGGAGGAACACCGAUGGCGAAGGCAGAUCUCUGGGCCGUAACUGACGCUGAGGAGCGAAAGCGUGGGGAGCGAACAGGAUUAGAUACCCUGGUAGUCCACGCCGUAAACGUUGGGAACUAGAUGUGGGGGCCAU